rnacentral:lncRNA from 1 species
GGGUCAAGCUUUGAGAUUCCACCCGCUGCUUUGCAAUCUUUUAUCACCCUUUCUAUUGUGAUCAUUAUUCCCAUCUAUGACCGUGUUCUUGUUCCUUGUGCACGAGCUGUAACCGGGAAACCCUCUGGCAUAACAAUGCUUCAAAGAAUUGGGGUUGGUAUAGCCUUCUCCAUCAUUUCUAUGGUAAUUGCAGCUCUGGUAGAGAUGAAAAGACUCCAAACUGCUCGUGACUACGGGCUGGUUGAUAAACCCGAUGUUACCAUUCCAAUGUCCAUCUAUUGGCUGGUUCCACAGUACGUGCUAUUUGGAAUUGCUGAUGUAUUCACUAUGGUUGGUCUGCAAGAAUUCUUUUAUGAUCAAGUUCCAAAUGAACUAAAAAGUAUUGGUCUUUCUCUGUACCUCAGCAUCUUUGGUGUUGGGAGCUUCCUUAGCAGCUUUCUUAUUUCCAUUAUCGAGAAAACAACUGGUUCUGAUGGUCAGGACAGUUGGUUCUCAGACAACUUAAAUCGAGGACAUCUGGAU